GAUGAAGAACGUAGCGAAAUGCGAUACGUAAUGUGAAUUGCAGAAUUCAGUGAAUCAUCGAAUCUUUGAACGCACAUUGCGCCCGCUAGUAUUCUGGCGGGCAUGCCUGUCCGAGCGUCAUUUCAACCCUCAAGCCCCCGGGCUUGGUGUUGGGGAUCGGCGAGCCUCCGCGCCCGCCGUCCCCUAAAUCUAGUGGCGGUCUCGCUGUAGCUUCCUCUGAGUAGUAGCACACCUCGCACUGGGAAACAGCGCGGCCACGCCGUUAAACCCCCAACUUCUGAACGUUUGACCUCGGAUCAGGUAGGAAUACCCGCUGAACUUAAGCAUAUCAAUAAGCGGAGGA
rnacentral:misc_RNA from 1 species